rnacentral:rRNA from 1 species
UACGUAGGGGGCAAGCGUUGUCCGGAUUUAUUGGGCGUAAAGAGCGUGUAGGCGGCCAGAUAGGUCCGUUGUGAAAACUCGAGGCUCAACCUCGAGACGCCGAUGGAAACCAUCUGGCUAGAGUCCGGAAGAGGAGAGUGGAAUUCCUGGUGUAGCGGUGAAAUGCGUAGAUAUCAGGAGGAACACCGGUGGCGAAGGCGGUUCUCUGGGCAUUACCUGACGCUGAGGAGCGAAAGUGUGGGGAGCGAACAGG